rnacentral:lncRNA from 1 species
GGCUCACUGAGUUGCUUAGCACCUUGCUUUUGCUGAGACUGGCUUUGAACUCACUAUCUUCCUGUCUCAGCCUCCUGAGUUGCUGGAAUUAUAGGUGUGCGCCACUGCGCCUGGCAUGGAACCAUUUUUAAUUGGCCAUUUCAUAGAACUGUUUUGAAUAUAUUCUUCUUUCCAAUCAGGAGGACAAUGUAGAUAUGAUUGUACAUAUUCAAGGCACUGAAACUAUAUUUAAUUAGCUCUUUUCUAACAUCUGACUCCCAUUUCUCAAAGCUAAGUAUGCUCAUGUGUCGACUUUCCUGGGCCAGGAAAAGGGGAGUUUGGGACAUUGUCUGAACUGACUUAGUCCAGUUCCUGCUACUUUUUUAAAUCAAGGAUGAACACAGUAAGAAGAAGUACCCAGCAGAUCUAACUCACUGUUGUCAUCCACAUAUCUGAGAUUACCUUAACUGCUGCAGAAUGGGAAAAUGUCGGGGCUGAAAGGGACCUUAGAGAUCCAUUAGUCCGGAGUUAUCACUUUGCAGUUGAGGAAAUGGAGAAGCAGAAAGGGGAACUGAGGUUAACUCUACUUUUAGAGUAAGGCCAGCUCCCAGGUUGUCUCAUUUCCAGAAAGGUCACUGCAGCAUGUUAUCCUGACAAGGCAUACAGCAAGGGCCCUUACCCUGAGAGUCAAAAAAGGAAAGUGUGUGCUAAAAAGUCAGAAAAUCUAAACUAGUCAGGCUGGAUAGGAUGAGACCAGGGUGCUUUGGGAUUAGAUCCAGGACAAGUUGGCACACUCUUUCAGUUGGAUGCCUGGUACGGUCUUGUGUUCUUAGUGAUCCAAUUCUAGGUGUAUUUCAGAGCCUCAUACCUUAUCCUAAAUCAGGGAGCUCGCUCCAUAUGGAUUUCCUGUCUUUUGGAGGGUAGUUUAAAAGGAUGUCACUGAAUACUAGAUAGAACUUUCAGCCAGACUUUCACAGAGUCUCCAAAUUUACAUGUUCAAAGCAAAGAACAAGAUUGCUUAAUAAUCCAGCUAAUCUUAGCAACAAAGAGGCCAGGUGAAACUGUACUGGAAUUAUACAUGUGACUACUGUCAUAGCCAGGCCCGACCUUUUCAUGACCUGUUCAUGGGCAGAAACAUGCUCUUGCC